AGUAGGUAGCUUAACCUUCGGGAGGGCGCUUACCACUUUGUGAUUCAUGACUGGGGUGAAGUCGUAACAAGGUAACCGUAGGGGAACCUGCGGUUGGAUCACCUCCUUACCAAAAAAGAUGUGUGUUACGUGAAGUGCUCACACAGAUUGUCUGAUGAA
rnacentral:rRNA from 1 species